GACGAACGCUGGCGGCGUGCUUAACACAUGCAAGUCGAACGGAAAGGCCCUGCUUGCAGGGUACUCUAGUGGCGAACGGGUGAGUAACACGUGGGUGAUCUGCCCUGCACUUCGGGAUAAGCCUGGGAAACUGGGUCUAAUACCGGAUAGGAGCCAUUUUUAGUGUGAUGGUUGGAAAGUUUUUUCGGUGUAGGAUGAGCUCGCGGCCUAUCAGCUUGUUGGUGGGGUAAUGGCCUACCAAGGCGGCGACGGGUAGCCGGCCUGAGAGGGUGGACGGCCACAUUGGGGCUGAGAUACGGCCCAGACUCCUACGGGAGGCAGCAGUGGGGAAUAUUGCACAAUGGGCGCAAGCCUGAUGCAGCGACGCCGCGGGGGGGAUGACGGCCUUCGGGUUGUAAACUCCUUUCGCUAGGGAAGAAGCUUUGUGUGACGGUACCUAGAUAAGAAGCACCGGCUAACUACGUG
rnacentral:rRNA from 1 species